CAGCCUCAUGGAGCAAUAACAUCGCUUUCAAAGUCAAAGGAAGAGUUUAGCUGGCUUUUAUGAAAUUGCUUGCAGACUGACCCUGCAUGUGUUUACUUGGGAGUAAGUAUCAUUUAGUUCAAUGGGGCUGACUGUCAAGGAAACACGCACAUAAUUAAACCCUCUUUUAUAAGCUGGGAUUUGUGUUCUGUGAACCUCUAGUCUUAUUGAGAGCUUUGAGGGUCAUGUUUCUUGCUAAUUUCUAGACCCCAAAAUUAUGACUGAAACAGGUAUUUCUCUCUCUCUCUCUCUUUUUAAUAUCAACUGCCAUUUUCUCUCUCCAGUGAAAUGCUAAGGUAUUCUAAAUGCAAAUACCAAAAGGAAGAAAUAAGAUGCAUUGCAUCUCAUGUGGUAGGCAUUAUAAACUAGUCAUACUUUGUGUAUGGAGGUUAUUUAAGUAAAAGAUAACAUGUCAUCUGCUAGCAGGCAAAUAAUUAUUAUUUUUUAAAUCAUGAGAAUUUCUUGCAUUGGAGAAUUUUUUUUUAAAAUACAGUAGAGAAAUGUUAAGGCACCAGGGACUUAACAGGGUUUAAAACUGAUUCUUCAGGAAUUCUUUUCAAUACCAUUUGUCUUUGACAUGCUACAAAGAACAGGAGGGAGAGUCAGCCACUCUUUUGAUUGCCCUUGAUAAGCAGCUGUUGCCUUUCCUAUGUUGUUGAAAUUUAGAUGGGAAAAUAUUUGGGGCAGGGAACUAAUUUUUCUGCCUUCAUAUAACCUUGUAAAGGGCCCUAUACAUUGAUGGUAGUGAAUGAAUGAAUAAUAAUAAUAAUGGUUAACAUUUGGCUAACAUUUUUAAACAUACAAAGUGCUUCACAUGCAUUUUCUAGCUGUAAUCUUCACCACAACAGGGUAAGUAUUAUUGCCCCCAAUUUGCAGAUAGAAAGACUGAGGUAGGGAGGUACUGACUUGCCUAAGGCCACCUAGUAAGUUAAUGCUGUGCUAGAGGUGAGAUAUAAAACAGACCAAGAUGAAUGACUUAGUGUCAAAGUAUAAUGCAUUGUGCAGUUUUCAAAUGAGCAAUCCUGUAGGGAAAUCCGAGAUGGCACAGCUGGAUAAUAGGACUGCACCAUAAUAGCUAUAGGUCAGGCUGUCUAUAUACCACCUCCAGAAUUAGAGGCAGCAUGCCUUGAAUAUUAGUCACUGUGGAUUGUGAGUAGGAAAGGACGCUUGCCUUCAAAUUGUACUUGUGGGUUUCUGCUUGGCCAGAAGCAGCUCACUGGACAGGGCAGAGCUGCUGCACGAAUUUCCUGGCAGACUGGUCACUGCUGCUUGCUGGAAGGAAAGAGGAAGGCUAUGCAGCAAGGUGGUUGGUGCAGUGCAAACAUGCUUGCAGAGCCAAUCGGUCACUCCUGGCAGUACACUUUCACUACAUCAACCUCCCUGCUGCCUUGGCAUGCCCUCUCUCCCUUCCAGUAAGCACCUGAUAGAUUAGUGUAGUGGCUCUACUCCAUCUAGCCAGCCAAUUUUGUGGCUGGCUGCUGUGGGAAACAGGAUGUUGAUUUAGAUAAACCCUUGGUCUGAUUCAGAAGGGCUCUUCUUGUGUUAGUUAUUGGACACUGGAUUCAUUUCUCAGUCUCAAAGAGUGUGCAGUUUGCAUUGCAGUGCUAUAAAACCUGCCGAAUCCCUAAACCCAAGCCACACAUUUUUAUUUGAAGGCAGUGAAUCAUAAAUGUUGACUCCCAGUGAAACAUCAGAGCCAAAUUGAGCAUCUCAUUUCAGACCGUACAGAGGAACGGGGCUGCUUAAAUAUGCAGAUUGAUAAACAUGAAAACAAUCUUUCUAUGUAUACACCUUGAAAUUGCUAAUCUGCUGCUACAGGGCUGGCGCCUUGGAGAAAUCGGAAAUUAUUAGAGGGCCAACGUUUAUCUUGAUCUGUCUAUAUUUAGUAAGCACAAGUCCUAUAGGCAUUCAACACUUCGCUGAGUACAAAUUGCUACAGUUGUGGAAAAUAUGAAAUAGAUAUAUAUUGCAUGCAAAGCCAAUCUAAAUGCAGCAUCCAUCUGUUCCAUAGACACAAUAUAAAUGCACUUCUGCUUUGGUUCAAGGAAACUAUUGGCUAGGCAUGACAUCACAAAGUUUUGUUAAGAUGACUUGUAGGUUUGUGGUAAAGUCACCAUGCUAGGGAUAGCGGAAUCUGUCAGUUUCUAUCUUACUCUCCCUAUUUUUCCAAACUUAAGUUUGGCAUGUCCUGUUUCCACAUACUCUUGUGAUUUAUUUAUGGUCAGUAUGAACAUUCAAUCACAUUAUUGUGUUAAUUUCUCUUAAUAUAGGGAUAAGAACAUAAGAAUAGCCUGCUAGAUCAGUCCAAUGAGCCGUUUAGUCCAGCAUCCUGUUCUCAUAGUGCCCAACCUGAUGCCUAUAGGAAGCCCACAAGCAGGAC